GCACGCAAUUCUUGCACGGCUUUCGGUAGUUUGCUAUUACUGUUUUUUAUUUAACAAAAAUUAAUGGAUUCUUCUGAAGAAGAAGCCGAUUAUGAUAUUGUCGUCAAUAACAAUGAGGUACAACCUUACAUGUUUGAGCCUUUGGCCAACGCGGAAGGUGGUCAUAGUAAUGACAAUUCUUCGUCAUCGGAAAGCGAAGAUGAAUACAUUCACAGAAUUGGAAAUAUUGAAUGGUGCGAGUGUGGUUUUGUGUGGUCAUGAGUACAGGACGGGAAAGUAUAUGUUGCCAAGAGGUAAACAACACUGAUCCUCUGAUACAUGGCGAUCAUAUUUGCAUCACACAAGAGGAAGAGUUUGCCACAGUAUGUACAAACGAAGCUGUCUUAAAAACAGCUAUGGUCGUGUACACACAUGACAUUGGACCUAUGCCUGAGAGUGAAGAAAACGAAGCAUUACGCUACACGGCGUACCGACAGUGGACGGCUUGGGUGCAUGGCAAAAAAGUACCAACUACCCAUACCUUCUUGUGCUGUGGACAAAAUCCGGAAAGCAUUUCCUUCGCCUUCUGGAGAAUACAAAGGAUUUGAAUAUGCUUCAACACUACUGAAUGCGAGAUUUAUGUUGCUUAAUGGCUUCAGCUUUGCUGAUUUUUGAUUUGUGGUGAGUCAAUGGGACAGGUAUUUCUUUCACUCCAGCGACAUCAAGAGCUUUGGAGAGUGUUAGAUUAAUCCGUCUGCAGUACAAAACUUCUUUCAUCAAGUCCUUAACAUAUCCUGAAAAGCAAAUCAUUAUUUAUGUUGGCUUUGCAUUGCACUUUGAGAAAAGAUGCUACACUUGUGGGUUCCACAGAGUAUU